rnacentral:rRNA from 1 species
ACGGAAGUCGUUGUAAUGAAAUAGAAACGGACAGAGAACUUGUUCGAAGAAAGUGGAAGUAGACUUACAACAAUGGCUUUAGUGGCGGACUGGUGAGUAACGCGUAAGGAACCUGCCUUCUAGAGGGGAAUAACAAUGAGAAAUCAUUGCUAAUACCGCAUAUGCCGAGAGAAUCACAUGGUACAAUCGGGAAAAGAGUAAUCUGCUAGAAGAUGGCCUUGCGUCUGAUUAGAUAGUUGGUGGGGUAACGGCCUACCAAGUCGACGAUCAGUAGCCGGACUGAGAGGUUGAACGGCCACAUUGGGACUGAGAUACGGCCCAGACUCCUACGGGAGGCAGCAGUCGGGAAUAUUGCGCAAUGGAGGAAACCCUGACGCAGUGACGCCGCGUAUAGGAAGAAGGUUUUCGGAUUGUAAACUAUUGUCGUUAGGGAAGAGAAAGGACAGUACCUAAGGAGGAAGCUCCGGCUAACUACGUGCCAGCAGCCGCGGUAAUACGUAGGGAGCGAGCGUUAUCCGGAAUUAUUGGGUGUAAAGGGUGCGUAGACGGGAAGAUAAGUUAGUUGUGAAAUCCCUCGGCUUAACUGAGGAACUGCAACUAAAACUGUUUUUCUUGAGUGCAGGAGAGGUAAGUGGAAUUCCUAGUGUAGCGGUGAAAUGCGUAGAUAUUAGAGGAA